rnacentral:rRNA from 1 species
GACGAACGCUGGCGGCGUGCUUAACACAUGCAAGUCGAACGAUGAAGCUGGAGCUUGCUCCGGUGGAUUAGUGGCGAACGGGUGAGUAACACGUGAGCAAUCUGCCCUUGACUCUGGGAUAACUGCAGGAAACUGUAGCUAAUACCGGAUAUGAGGCUCGAAGGCAUCUUCGGGUCUGGAAAGAAUUUCGGUCAAGGAUGAGCUAGCGGCCUAUCAGCUUGUUGGUGAGGGAAUGGCUCACCAAGGCGACGACGGGUAGCCGGCCUGAGAGGGUGACCGGCCACACUGGGACUGAGACACGGCCCAGACUCCUACGGGAGGCAGCAGUGGGGAAUAUUGCACAAUGGGCGAAAGCCUGAUGCAGCAACGCCGCGUGAGGGAUGAAGGCCUUCGGGUUGUAAACCUCUUUUAGCAGGGAAGAAGCGAAAGUGACGGUACCUGCAGAAAAAGCACCGGCUAACUACGUGCCAGCCGCCGCCGUAA